UGAGUCACACACACACCUCGUUCUCUCUCUCUCAAGAGAACAACUGAGGCGGAGCCGCGGCGGGGUCACGGUGCCGCCACCGCCACUGGCGGUGGUUUGGUGGUUGAUUUUCGGUGCGUCCCGGCGCGUAACCCCCCUAAGACGCACCUUCCGAACCCGUUUCCGAUGAUGGUUUUUUGAAUUGAGCAACGAUUAGGGUAGUAUGGGCCUGCAGCAGCCGCGGUUCGAGACAUUUUCUGGUGACGUGACGGCUGUGGUCGCCUACGGUGGGCAAAACCGACAAGGCCAGACAGAAAGACAGAGAGAGUAGAGAGAGAAGGAGCCGGAGCCGACGUCCCUGGCGACCAACGCCGAAAGCGACGGCGGUAAUGGUGGUGGAUCGCAACUCAGGUUCAAGUAUGAGGUUCUAGAUUCGGAUUCAAGAUUCUUUCUUUUGGUUCAGACUUCGUCUAAGCUCGGGUUUCAUUUUCAGCCGGUUCAGGUCAGGAAACCAACCGAGACAAACAUCAGUCUCGGUCAACUUACGGUUCGGUUUUGGUCUCAGUUCAGGCUUCGAGUUGGGUGUGGUUCAGCAGGUCCGGGUUCGGGCUUGGUCAAGACAAGUCAAACUGGUCAAUGGUUUGGUUAGGGAGUCUCGGGUUCGAAGCGGGUUUCGGUUCAGAUACGUGUAUGGGUCUCGCUGGUCAAGCCGCGCGGUUCGGUCAGAUGGCUCGGUUCGGUCAACUCGGUCAAACCGAGUCAACUCGGUCAAACCUGGUCAACUCGGUGAGUCGACCCGGUCAACUCGGUCAACUUUUUCCGCGAAACAACACGAGACAUGGUAAGGUUUAAUGACGAGAUUUAUUAUGUUAUUUUUAUAUAGUUUUAAUAUUACGUGUGAAUCGAGCUCGAAACAAUCGACGAAAGUAUACUUUACAUCUUUACAUAUUUGACGAAACCUUAUAUAUUGAU